rnacentral:rRNA from 1 species
ACGGCUCAGUAACACGUGGAGAACGUACCGUACGCUGGGGGAUAAUCUCGGGAAACUGAGAAUAAUACCCCAUAGUCCAUCCUUCCUGGAACGGUGGAUGGACAAAAGCUCCGGCGGCGUACGAUCGCUCUGCGGCCUAUCAGGUUGUAGGGAGGGUAACGUCCUCCCUAGCCUUCGACGGGUACGGGUGUUGGGAGACAUCGCCCGGAGAUGGACUCUGAGACACGAGUCCAGGCCCUACGGGGCGCAGCAGGCGCGAAAACUGCACAAUGUGGGAAAUCACGAUGCGGGAACCCCGAGUGUCUGCGCAAUGCGUAGACUGUCGCCAAGCGUUCGUUGCUUGGCAAGAAAGUGCUGGGUAAGACGGGUGCCAGCCGCCGCGGUAAUACCCGCAGCACGAGUGGUGGUCACUUUUACUGGGCCUAAAGCGUCCGUAGCCGGUCUGUUAAAUGCCUGGGUAAAUCGAUGCGCUCAACGUAUCGAACUCCGGGUAGACUGGCAGACUCGAGACCGGGAGAGGUAUGAAGUACUCCUGGGGUAGGGGUAAAAUCCUGUAAUCCUAGGGGGACUACCAGUGGCGAAGGCGUCAUACUGGAACGGAUCUGACGGUGAGGGACGAAGCCCUGGGGCGCAAACCGGAUUAGAUACCCGGGUAGUCCAGGGUGUAAACGCUGCUGACUUGGUGUCGGAGGUCCUACGAGGGCUUUCGGUGCCGGAGAGAAGUUGUUAAGUCAGCCGCCUGGGGAGUACGGUCGCAAGACUGAAACUUAAAGGAAUUGGCGGGGGAG